UGAGGAAUAUUGGUCAAUGGGCGAGAGCCUGAACCAGCCAAGUAGCGUGCAGGAUGACGGCCCUAUGGGUUGUAAACUGCUUUUAUGUGGGGAUAAAGUGCGUGAAGUGUCAUGCAUUGCAGGUACCACAUGAAUAAGGACCGGCUAAUUCCGUGCCAGCAGCCGCGGUAAUACGGAAGGUCCGGGCGUUAUCCGGAUUUAUUGGGUUUAAAGGGAGCGUAGGCUGUCUAUUAAGCGUGUUGUGAAAUUUACCGGCUCAACCGGUGGCUUGCAGCGCGAACUGGUCGACUUGAGUAUGCAGGAAGUAGGCGGAAUUCAUGGUGUAGCGGUGAAAUGCUUAGAUAUCAUGACGAACUCCGAUUGCGCAGGCAGCUUACUGUAGCAUAACUGACGCUGAUGCUCGAAAGUGCGGGUAUCAAACAGG
rnacentral:rRNA from 1 species